GCUCCUUCUCCUCCUAUUUUCGCCCUCUCAUUCCCAUCACAAUUACGUAGCGCAAUGUUUAGAGAGCAUGGGAACCAAAGAGAGCGAGUGCGCGGGAAUCAAGUGCACUAACUAACCCUAGAGAGUGAGAGGACACUUUUGACCCCUGA
ensembl:ncRNA ZC477.20 ncRNA